UGCACAUUCACAAAUAGAAUUUAAAGCGUUCAGAUUUUCAGACAAAACAACUUGAUAAGACUGCCAUUGCGAUAUUACAUUCAUUACUACUCAAGACUUAAUAAUCUAGAAGCUGAUAACACACUUAAUAAAACCAUAACAUAACAUAUAAAAACCAGAAUACAUGAAUCAAUUCAAGAUCUCCCCACAUACUUGAUUCCUUAACGAUGAAAGGGGCCUUUGGGAUCGAGCUGCUUGCAAAUCGCGAGAUAAGUGAGAUACAGAACCCGAUCUUUGGCUCCAGUGCGAUGAUUCUUGGUGUGCUUGCAGAAAUACUUCAAUUGCUCAAGUGUCUACAUCCCAGCAUCUGUACAACCCU
rnacentral:lncRNA from 1 species